ensembl:lncRNA novel transcript
CCAUCUGGAUGUAUACCUGCAGGUCACAGGGGAUAUGAUGGCUUAGCUUGGGCUCAGAGGCUGGACAGGUUUAUUCAAAAUUAUGAGGGAUUCAUUUAAUAUCUGAAUUGUUCAAGAUAAUGAUUGGUGUGACAAUGAGUGACCAAAUUUCUCAAAGUAAGAUGAAUUUUCCUGCAAGGAUGAAAGCUUGGAAUAUGGCUUCUGACCAAAUACUGUGUCUAGAAUUGGUGGGUUCUUGGUCUCCCUGACUUAAAGAAUGAAGCCGCAGACCCUCACAGUAUUACAGUUCUUAAAGAUGGUGUGUCCCGAGUCUGUUCCUUCAGAUGUUCAGAUGUAUCCACAGUUUCUUCUUUCUGGUGGGUUCGUGGUCUUGCUGACUUCAGGAGUGAAGCUGCAGACCUUCGUGUUUCACUUGUUGAUGCCCCUCACAGCAACUGCCACAUUGUAAAUAUGGAAUCUGAUGUAUGUUUGACUUCAGUCAAAAAUGU